UGGCUAAGGCAUGCAAGUCGAACGGACGUACCUGGAAGGAAACGGAAGGGUAGUUAGUGGCGAACGGGUGAGGAAUACUGGACAACGUACCCCGGACACGGGCUAGCGGCGUCCCCGAGCAUCGGGAGACUUUGCGAAAGUGCCGGUAAUUCCCGAUGACCCCGUAGGAUCGCAUGAUCCGGCGGGCAAAGCUCAGACGGUCUGGGAGCGGUUCAUGGCCUAUCAGCUUGUUGGUGAGGUACGGCUACCAGGCACGACGGGUUUGGCGUGAGAGCGUGCCCGACACAUCGGACUGAGACACGGCCCGGACACCUACGGGUGGCUGCAGCAACGAAUAUUCCGCAAUGGACGAAAGUCUGACGGAGCGACGCCGCGUGCAGGAAGAAGUCCCUCGGGAUGUAAACUGCUGUCAGGGGUUAGGAAUAAUGACCAGCCCCACAGGAAGCACUGGCUAACUCCGUGCCAGCAGCCGCGGUAAUACGGAGAGUGCAAGCGUUGUUCGGAAUCACUGGGCUUAAAGAGCGUGUAGGCGGAAUGCAAGGUGCCGGGUGAAAGCCCCGGGCUCAACCCGGGAACGGCACGGCAAACCGGCGCUCUUGAGGCAGGCAGAGGUGACUGGAACGACUGGUGGAGCGGUGAAAUGCGUAGAUAUCAGUUGGAACGCCGGAGGCGAAAGCGAGUCACUGGACCGUCCUGACGCUGAGACCGAAAGCGUGGGAGCACAGAUAGAUACCUGUGUCCGCGUAACAUCGCCUAGGUAUGAGAGGUUCUGACGCCGAUCGUGCCGAAGCAAAAGUGUUAAGUGCGCCGCCUGGGGAGUACGGCCGCAAGGCUAAAACUCAAAGGAAUUGACGGGGGCUCACACAAGCGGUGGAGCAUGUGGAUUAAUUCGAAGCAACGCGAAGAACCUUACCUGGGUUUGACAUGCACGGAUGCUCUCUUGGAAACAGGAGUAGGCUGCCUUCGGGUGAAACGUGCACAGGUGCUGCAUGGCUGUCGUCAGCUCGUGCUGUG
rnacentral:rRNA from 1 species